CCUUGAAUUCCUCAAAUGUCAGAUUAGGAAUAUCUUUUGGAUCACCUCCACUGUCAACACCAUAUG
rnacentral:sRNA from 1 species